rnacentral:rRNA from 1 species
CCUACGGGUGGCAGCAGUCGAGAAUCAUUCACAAUGGGGGAAACCCUGAUGGUGCGACGCCGCGUGGGGGAAUGAAGGUCUUCGGAUUGUAAACCCCUGUCAUGUGGGAGCAAAUUAAAAAGAUAGUACCCCAAGAGGAAGAGACGGCUAACUCUGUGCCAGCAGCCGCGGUAAUACAGAGGUCUCAAGCGUUGUUCGGAAGCACUGGGCGUAAAGCGUGCGUAGGCUGUUUCGUAAGUCGUGUGUGAAAGGCGCGGGCUCAACCCGCGGACGGCACAUGAUACUGCGAGACUAGAGUAAUGGAGGGGGAACCGGAAUUCUCGGUGUAGCAGUGAAAUGCGUAGAUAUCGAGAGGAACACUCGUGGCGAAGGCGGGUUCCUGGACAUUAACUGACGCUGAGGCACGAAGGCCAGGGGAGCGAAAGGGAUUAGAUACCCUUGUAGUC